rnacentral:rRNA from 1 species
CCAGAAAGGGACGGCUAANUACGUGCCAGCAGCCGCGGUAAUACGUAGGUCCCGAGCGUUNUCCGGAUUUAUUGGGCGUAAAGGGAGCGCNGGCGGUUUAGUAAGUCUGAAGUUAAAGNCAUUGGCUCAACCAAUGUAUGCUUUGGAAACUGUUAGACUNGAGUGCAGAAGGGGAGAGUGGAAUUCCAUGUGUAGCGGUGAAAUGCGUGGAUAUAUGGAGGAACACCGGUGGCGAAAGCGGCUCUCUGGUCUGUCACUGACGCCGAGGCUCGAAAGCGUGGGUAGCGAACAGGAUUAGAUACCCUGGUAGUCCACGCCGUAAACGCUGAGUGCUAGGUGUUAGGUCCUUUCCGGGACUUAGUGCCGACGCUAACGCAUUAAGCACUCCGCCUGGGGAGUACGACCGCAAGGUUGAAACUCAAAGGAAUUGACGGGGGCCCGCACAAGCGGUGGAGCAUGUGGUUUAAUUCGAAGCAACGCGAAAAACCUUACCAGGUCUUGACAUCCCGAUGCCCGCUCUAGAGAUAGAGUUUUUCUUCGGAACAUCGGAGACAGGUGGUGCAUGGUUGUCGUCAGCUCGUGUCGUGAGAUGUUGGGUUAAGUCCCGCAACGAGCGCAACCCUUAUUGUUAGUUGCCAUCAUUAAGUUGGGCACUCUAGCGAGACUGCCGGUAAUAAACCGGAGGAAGGUGGGGAUGACGUCAAUCAUCAUGCCCCUUAUGACCUGGGCUACACACGUGCUACAAUGGUUGGUACAACGAGUCGCAAGCCGGUGACGGCAAGCUAAUCUCUGAAAGCCAAUCUCAGUUCGGAUUGUAGGCUGCAACUCGCCUACAUGAAGUCGGAAUCGCUAGUAAUCGCGGAUCAGCACGCCGCGGUGAAUACGUUCCCGGGCCUUGUACACACCGCCCGUCACACCACGAGAGUUUGUAACACCCAAAGUCGGUGAGGUAACCAUUUAUGGGGCCAGCCGC